UACGUAGGGGGCAAGCGUUGUCCGGAAUCAUUGGGCGUAAAGCGCGUGUAGGCGGCCCGGUAAGUCCGCUGUGAAAGUCCAGGGCUCAACCCUGGGAUGCCGGUGGAUACUGUCGGGCUCGAGUCCGGAAGAGGCGAGUGGAAUUCCUGGUGUAGCGGUGAAAUGCGCAGAUAUCAGGAGGAACACCAAUGGCGAAGGCAGCUCGCUGGGACGUGACUGACGCUGAGACGCGAAAGCAUGGGGAGCGAACGGG
rnacentral:rRNA from 1 species